rnacentral:misc_RNA from 1 species
GAUGAAGAACGUAGCAAAAUGCGAUACUUGGUGUGAAUUGCAGAAUCCCGUGAACCAUCGAGUUUUUGAACGCAAGUUGCGCCCGAAGCCUUUUGGCCGAGGGCACGUCUGCCUGGGCGUCACGCAUCGCGUCGCCCCCCACAAUUCUCCGUAAAAGGAACAUGUGUUUUGGGGGCGGAUAUUGGUCUCCCGUGCUCAUGGCGUGGUUGGCCGAAAUAGGAGUCCUUUCGAUGGACGCACGAACUAGUGGUGGUCGUAAAAACCCUCGUCUUUUGUUUCGUGCUGUUGCUCGCAAGGUAAACUCUUUAAAAACCCCAAUGUGUCGUCUCUUGACGACGCUUCGACCGCGACCCCAGGUCAGGCGGGACUACCCGCUGAGUUUAAGCAUAUCAUAAGCGGAGGA